rnacentral:tRNA from 1 species
ACCGAAAUAGCUCAGUUGGGAGAGCGUUAGACUAUAGAUCGAAAAGUCCGUGGUUCGAUCCCGGGUUCCGGCA